AGCCAGCAGCCGCGGUAAUACGGAGGGUGCAAGCGUUAAUCGGAAUUACUGGGCGUAAAGCGUGCGUAGGCGGUUGUUUAAGUCAGAUGUGAAAGCCCCGGGCUUAACCUGGGAACUGCAUUUGAUACUGGACGACUAGAGUUGAGUAGAGGGGAGUGGAAUUUCAGGUGUAGCGGUGAAAUGCGUAGAGAUCUGAAGGAACACCAGUGGCGAAGGCGGCUCCCUGGACUCAAACUGACGCUGAGGUACGAAAGCGUGGGUAGCAAACAGGAUUAGAUACCCUGGUAGUCCACGCCGUAAACGAUGUCAACUAACCGUUGGGUUCUUAAAGAACUUAGUGGUGGAGCUAACGUAUUAAGUUGACCGCCUGGGGAGUACGGCCGCAAGGCUAAAACUCAAAUGAAUUGACGGGGGCCCGCACA
rnacentral:rRNA from 1 species